GGAUGAAGCCGAAGCUUGUGAUGUUUCCCACCCCUCAUUCAACUUUAACUCAUUCCUUUAUAUAUCAUAUAUUUUUAUGUGGGUGAAAUGUGUUCCUUUAAGGUAGAAUAGGGUAAACAAUGACAUCUGCUUGACUUCAUACACUCACAACAUGAAUUAUUCAAGUUUAGGAGUGGAAGAUAGUUUAGGUGGGUUUGGUUUUCUGUCUGUGUUGCAGGGUGAAGGGGGUGACGGCAGAUCAGGAGGAGAGUCUCCUGCAGCAGCUGACGGAGAUCACCCGGGUGAUGCAGGAGGGCCAGCUGGUGGACAACAUGGCACCAGAGAAGAAGACCCAGGAGGACUGGGAAGUUUCUGCAGAUGAUCCUGAGGAGCCUCAGCAGCAGUGGGAACAUUCCCGCUGCUGCUGUCAGCACAGUCAGCAAGACCCAAGUCCCCAGACGGAGACGGAGGCUGAGAGGACACACGCUGAUGGAGCCGACCCGGAAAACCUUUCUGAGGAUGUUACAGGUGGAGGAGAGGCUGCACAGGGAGUAGAGGGUCUGAACAAAGAGAGAGGAUCUGAUUUUACAGCAGCAAGUGAAGAGGAUGUGGGGCCAGAGAGCGUAAAGGAGAGGGUGGACGACGUGCGUGAACACAAGGAGGGAGGGUUUCAAAUGGAUCUGGGCGUCCCGGAGGACGACCUGGCUGGAGUCCUGAAGGACCUGCAGCUCACACUGGAGGUGACGUCCAUGAUGGAGCAGGAGAAGGUGGAGGACCUGAGCAGGACGACGGAGACUUCCUGCAGCGCCGUCAGACGGAGGAACAAGAGGAGGAGAGCGAAGAAAGCCUCACACUGACUUGACGUGACGCCAUGUGAACUUAAGCCGUGAACAGCUUCUUCUUUUAAAUCUGUUUUCAGCAGGCGGGUUGUUUUCGCCAGCCUUGUUUAUCUUUACUUGAAGUAAAUACGUGAGAAAAUGUGUGUACAGGGCAGUUUUAUAUCAGCUUCAUCCACUGGCUAGAAAAGGAACGAGUAUAGUUUAUGGUCUUAAAACAGUAUUGGCACUUAAAUAUUUCUAAAGAAAAAAACAGGGGCCUCAUUUAUAAAACGCUCAAAAUCUAAUACAAUAACACCAGUAUUACCAUUAUUAUACAUUGAUGAAGUAUUUAAUUUAAACUAACAUUAGGAUGUUUCCAGGUUAAGAUUUGAUGUAAAACGGUGGACACCCUGGUAAACAAACAGUAUUUAAUUCUGUUACGGGAGUGUUAUUUAUCAUAUUUCAUCUGUUCUUUUAUCCAGCCUCUUUUACUGUAAAAUGAUUUCACGUUAUUUACAAGUGCUUGAAUUAGAGGUGGUUUUUCAAAAUGUAUUACCAGCACACACAACUGAAUCAGGCCACUUCAAAACACACUUGUUCUGUAAAUGACUACAUUUCGAAAACAUCAGAAAGAAGUCACUUGCAAACAAAGGAAACACUAAUGACAUUACUUACAUCACUUUAAUAUACUGAGGCGAUUGUGCCUUUUCUCACCUGUCAGAAUAAGUGUUCGACUUCCUGCAAUCUUUAUAUCAAAGAUGCACAUUUUUAGACCCUGAAUUCCCUAAGUGUGAGGAGGAACAAUACAUGCACUGUACUAACUUAAAGCAAAGGGGACAUAAAUAGUUCCCGCUUUGUCAUCCCAUCAGUUUGGAGAGAAAUCUUGCCUCCUGUACCGAUAACAUUUUAAGAUUUUAACAAACCUGUUGUCUUAUGUUUUAAAUUAUUUUAAGCUUUUUACUUUUAUAAAAUGAAUUUCACUGUUUAGAACGGCACCUGGGUAUGGCACAUAAUAGUGAUAGAAUAACUUCAAUAAAAUGUUCAAGGUUAUUAACUUACUCCUUAAGGCUUUGUUUUAUUUUUACUCUACAUUGUAACAAGAUCAAUACUGUAAAAACGCUGUGGCUCAGACUCUUGAAACUCUCACUCUUUAAAAAUAUGUAUGUGUAAU
ensembl:lncRNA